rnacentral:lncRNA from 1 species
CAAUAUAUAUAUAUAUAGAUCGAGUUGAGCUGUAAUGCUAUCGGUAGCAAACAGUCUUCAUUGUCACUCAUUUGUUUUUUAUGAUAGAGCCUCUAAAUGGACGAUCAAUACGGUUGAACAUGAUCUAUACAACUUGAAGUAUCUGGAAACUAAAUUUCAUGUUUUUGUUGAUAUUGUUCUCUUAUUCAUCAAGUGGACACAAAAAUAAACGGGUGAAAAUAAAUAUCCUCUAAAAAGUGAUGAUAAAAAUUUUGUAAUUCAAUAUAGUUAAGAUUAUUUUUGAUAAAAUAUCUGAAAUAAACAAGGAAUACAUACAUAACUAUUGCGUACAAGCAAACAUUUCUUCAUGAUUUGUGUAAGGUUUGGUGGCUACUACAAGAUAUUUCUUGUCUCGACUUGUAUAUUCUUUAAUUCUAUUUAGCAAACCAUAGUCAAUUGUCCAAAUAUAUAUAUAUAUAUAUAAGCGUAUAAGAAUUUCGACAAUGACAGACGGAAUCCAAAAAGGAAUAAAAUAAUAUUCCCUACGAAUGGUUAUAAUUAAUUUGUUAAAAAUAUCUCAAAUAAAAAUUAACGGUUAUGAUCAAUCUAUUAAAUAUAAAAUAAUAUUCCCUACGAAUGGUUAUAAUUAAUUUGUUAAAAAUAUGUCA